UUUGAGGAUUUGAUCCUGGUCCAGGACGAACGCUAGCGGCGCGCCUUAGGCAUGCAAGUCGAACGAACCCCGCAAGGGGUGAGUGGCAGACGGCUGAGUAACACGUCGGAACGUACCCAUCAGUCGAGGAUAGCCCCGCGAAAGCGGGGGUAAUACUCCAUAAUCCCGCGAGGGGAAAGAGCAUAACUGCUCACUCAUGGAGCGGCCGGCGGCCUAUCAGCUUGUUGGUGGGGUAAUGGCCUACCAAGGCUAUGACGGGUAGGGGGUGUGAGAGCACGGCCCCCCAGAAUAGGACUGAGACACGGCCUAUACACCUACGGGUGGCAGCAACUGGGAAU
rnacentral:rRNA from 1 species